GUUGUAACGUAUAUGCCAAAGAUCUUUUUUUUCUAUUUAUUUUUUAGAAUUAAGAUAUCUUGUUAUUCCAGCAUCAUUUCUUGAACAGUCUGUCCAUUCUCCAUUGAAUUGCUUUUGCAUCUUAAUCAAAAGUUACCCUAUUCUGGACUUUCCUAUCAAUGGACUCAUAUAAUUUUUGAACUUUUGAAGGACAUUAUGCUUGGUGUGAAAAUAGCUUUAAAAUGAAGUGAGAUAAAAUGUAUAUAUAUCCAAACACUAUAAUUACAUUUUUUAUUGUGGUAACGACACCUAAAAUGAGAUCAACCCUCUUAAAUUUUUAAGAGCACAAUGUAGUAUUACUAUCUAUAGGCUCCAUGUUGUACAGUAGAUUUCUAGGAUUUAUUUAUCUUGCAUAACUAGAAUGUUACACCCUUUAAAUAGCAUCUCACCAAAUUCCCCUCACCCCAGUCCCUGGCAAAUGCCAAUGAAUAUUGGAUAAUUAUUUUUAUCAAUGAAAGCAACAUUAAUGGCUAAUCUUGUCACUUCCUGGAUUGACUUGAUCCGUUUCACAGACAGUGUUCUCAUCUAGGUCUCGUAUUUGACCUAUAUGCUCCCUCAGGUUUCUUCUUCUAAAUUCUUAUUACCUGUAUCUAAGUAAAUUCAAAAAAAUAAUUUGCCUGUCCGGGUGUGGUGGCACCUGUAAUCUC